rnacentral:rRNA from 1 species
GUGGGGAAUCUUGCGCAAUGGGCGCAAGCCUGAUCUAGCCAUGCCGCGUGAGUGAUGAAGGCCCUAGGGUUGUAAAGCUCUUUCAGCUGGGAAGAUAAUGACGGUACCAGCAGAAGAAGCCCCGGCUAACUCCGUGCCAGCAGCCGCGGUAAUACGGAGGGGGCUAGCGUUGUUCGGAAUUACUGGGCGUAAAGCGCGCGUAGGCGGACUGAAAAGUUGGGGGUGAAAUCCCGGGGCUCAACCUCGGAACUGCCUUCAAAACUAUCAGUCUGGAGUUCGAGAGAGGUGAGUGGAAUUCCGAGUGUAGAGGUGAAAUUCGUAGAUAUUCGGAGGAACACCAGUGGCGAAGGCGGCUCACUGGCUCGAUACUGACGCUGAGGUGCGAAAGCGUGGGGAGCAAACAGGAUUAGAAACCCCUGUAGUCC